rnacentral:rRNA from 1 species
ACUCCUACGGGAGGCAGCAGUGGGGAAUAUUGCACAAUGGGCGCAAGCCUGAUGCAGCCAUGCCGCGUGUGUGAAGAAGGCCUUCGGGUUGUAAAGCACUUUCAGUCGUGAGGAAGGUGGUGUAGUUAAUAGCUGCUAUUUAUUGAUCGUUAGACGAACAGAACGGAAGACACCGGCUAACUCCGUGCCAGCAGCCGGCGGUAAUACGGAGGGUGCGAGCGUUAAUCGGAAUUACUGGGCGUAAAGCGCAUGCAGGUGGUUUGUUAAGUCAGAUGUGAAAGCCC